UACGUAGGUGGCAAGCGUUGUUCGGAAUUAUUGGGCGUAAAGGGCGUUUAGGCGGUUUGUUAAGUCGGCUGUGAAAGCCCGGGGCUCAACCCCGGAGGGUCAGCCGAUACUGGCAGACUAGAGUACGGAAGAGGUAGCUGGAAUUCCCGGUGUAGCGGUGAAAUGCGCAGAUAUCAGGAGGAACACCCGUGGCGAAAGCGGCUCUCUGGGACGGUACUGACGCUGAGACGCGAAAGCGUGGGGAGCAAACAGG
rnacentral:rRNA from 1 species